CGCGGAUCGGGGCCAACCCUGGAAGAUGCUUUUGAUGGUAUGAAUUUGCAUGGAGAAGAGGAAGAAGACCUAGAUUUUUCAGGUGAGGUUGAGGAUCUGAUCAGGGAGGUUCGGUGGCUCGCGCUUUUUAGGGUUCAUACCAUGAGGCCCUUUAGCCAUGCGGCUCUCUUGAAUUCUAUGAGGAACGCAUGGGCUUGUGCGCAAGGCGUAACUUUCAACAUUAAGGGGCCAAACCUAUUUUUGGCUCAGGUUCAUUGUUUGGGUGACUGGAAGCGUGUGAUGGACGGGGGGCCGUGGCAAUUCAGAAGAGAUCCGGUGAUCCUGGUGGAGUAUGAUGGAUUUACAAACGUGGACGAGUAUGCCCUAGACAUGUAUCCAUUAUGG
rnacentral:rRNA from 1 species